GAUGAACGCUGGCGGCGUGCUUAACACAUGCAAGUCGAACGGAAAGGCCCUGCUUUUGUGGGGUGCUCGAGUGGCGAACGGGUGAGUAACACGUGAGUAACCUGCCCUUGACUUUGGGAUAACUUCAGGAAACUGGGGCUAAUACCGGAUAGGAGCUCCUGCUGCAUGGUGGGGGUUGGAAAGUUUCGGCGGUUGGGGAUGGACUCGCGGCUUAUCAGCUUGUUGGUGGGGUAGUGGCUUACCAAGGCUUUGACGGGUAGCCGGCCUGAGAGGGUGACCGGCCACAUUGGGACUGAGAUACGGCCCAGACUCCUCCGGGAGGCAGCAGUGGGGAAUAUUGCACAAUGGGCGGAAGCCUGAUGCAGCAACGCCGCGUGCGGGAUGACGGCCUUCGGGUUGUAAACCGCUUUCGCCUGUGACGAAGCGUGAGUGACGGUAAUGGGUAAAGAAGCACCGGCUAACUACGUG
rnacentral:rRNA from 1 species